rnacentral:rRNA from 1 species
GACGAACGCUGGCGGCGUGCUUAACACAUGCAAGUCGAACGAUGAAGCCGGAGCUUGCUCUGGUGGAUUAGUGGCGAACGGGUGAGUAACACGUGAGUAACCUGCCCUUGACUCUGGGAUAAGCGUUGGAAACGACGUCUAAUACCGGAUACGAGCUAGGACCGCAUGGUCACUAGCUGGAAAGAAUUUCGGUCAAGGAUGGACUCGCGGCCUAUCAGCUAGUUGGUGAGGUAACGGCUCACCAAGGCGACGACGGGUAGCCGGCCUGAGAGGGUGACCGGCCACACUGGGACUGAGACACGGCCCAGACUCCUACGGGAGGUAGCAGUGGGGAAUAUUGCACAAUGGGCGCAAGCCUGAUGCAGCAACGCCGCGUGAGGGACGACGGCCUUCGGGUUGUAAACCUCUUUUAGCAGGGAAGAAGCGCAAGUGACGGUACCUGCAGAAAAAGCACCGGCUAACUACGUGCCAGCCGCCGCAGUAAAAC